GUUGAGACCAAGAAGACGCAAAGAGAUGGUCCGGCUAAGAGGUAUCCGGCGCUUAAACGUUCUUCUUCCUACAAUGUAGAAAGGUAAGCUUGAUGAGUGCUUUGCUAUGUUCUUGAUAUCCUGCUUAAUCAAAUUGAUAUCUGGGCACACAUAAAUAUGUCUAGGCUAACUGUUGAAACCCUACAUGAUUCUUUGAUGUUACUUACUGGUUGUCAAUUUUAAAGAAAAAAUGUUGCAACCCAACUGUCGAGACCUUCUAAUUCAUGACUCCGUACCAUUUUGCGUUGUAGAGUUUGCUUACCAAUUUGAUUUAUGUUAGUUAUGUUUCCUUUUCGAAAACUAUGUCUCAUUAAGAGUAGAACCGAUGACAUGUGGGCAUUGGAUCCAAAAUUUUGCACGAACUGUUGAUAGGGACGCAAACCGUUAUUGUUGGGUUUAGGCUUGGGAUCAAAGAGUUAAGAAUUGGAGAAGAGCCAUGUACUGAAGAAUAUUUAUGAACGCUAGCACCGUUGCUUUUGUCGUUGCCUAAAACACUAACAGGUUGAUACCAGAAACAUUGUAUGGUUGUCAUAUAGCGCCAGCAUGCAGCUGGCAUGUAUCUAUCAAACAAAAAUACCAAAGUACGGGAAUCUACCUGCCGGGAGAGAAUUUGAGGCCUGUAGGAUCCCAAAUCGGUAAUGAGAGAUUUGUAAAUGAGGCGUGCUCGCACCCUGACUGUUCAUCUACUCCACCGUCACCUCGCGUCCGCCCUCGUCACAUUGGUUUUCGUCGAGGUGAGUUCUCCCUCCGUCCUUUUUCCUCUGCCCCACCGGCGUUCUCUGAGAAUCAGCCGGUUCUCCGUCCUCCGAUACGAAGGGACAAUGUGCUCCACGGAGAGCUAGAACAAAUUGGAACGAUGAACAUGGUUAUGCAGUAAUUUGGUUCUACCUCAUGUCCAAGGUUGCCAAUAUAUACAAUAGUACAAUCAGGAUUGUUCUCUGGGUUCUCUUUAAAUUAUCAUGAUAUUAUAUGUUUCCGUUGCAACGCACGGGCACUAACCUAGUUAUUACCUUAGUUUAGUAGUCGAUUGAGUGUUGCAGCUCAGAAACCACAAGUACAGCAAGCCAUGACUCUUGGUCCACACGCGCGUCAUACAUUAUUUACCAUCUCGACUAAAAACCCCAUCAUACUUUUUGCUCGGACAGAAUUUAUCGGAGAAAUUAAACUUGGCCCUAUCUUUAGUUAUAGCAAAAGAUAGUAGCCGGGCCCUCAGUUUUGGCCACCUUCCUCGCUUCAACUGGUCGUCGGCCCCGGCGCCGGUGCCGGAGCCGGCGCAGAUCCCGUCUCAUCAGCCAGCUUCAUGUCGGAAUAGACGACGCGGCCUUCCGACUCGGAGUCGGUGCUGUUGUCCCCGGCCGAGGCGUCGGAGCUGUUGUUGUCCCCGGCCGAGUCGUCGACGCUGUCGAGGAUGCGGAUUCUGUUCUUGCCGGCGGAGGCGGUGGUGGCGAGGUGGCAGAUGAGCAGCCCCACCAGCGCCAAGCUCAGCAAGGCCACGCGGAUCCUGGUGGGCGCCAUCGCGCGUGGAAUCUAGCUAGUCGUAGCAGGUACCUCCCCUUCUCUGCUCGGAUCGUCCGGCUGUGAUUGCUUUCCUUUGUUCCUGGCUCAUCUCGAAUGCUGACGGUGAGGUUUUUAUAGUGCCGGGAUCCAUGGCCGUUUGCGGUGUUCGCGUUGAAAGUGGCCGGGGUGACCUAAUUUUGGGGUUUGUGAAUUGCAGCCCUCCGUUGCCGCGGCUUUGAAUAGCUCUUGUGCUCUGCUG
rnacentral:lncRNA from 1 species